GAGAAUGAACCGCUGAAGCCCUUAUAUCGGUUCGGGCGGAGAGACCGGUCUCUCUAAGUCUGGGACCGGUCCCAGAGCCAAACCAAAAAAUUUAAAUUUUGUACAGAAUUUUUCAAAAAUUUUAUUUAAUAUCCCCAAAAUAUCCAACAUCAAAAAUACUCAAUUUCCAUCCCCAAUGACUUCCAAUAAAAUUUCAUAAAUAAAUUUUGAAAGAUUAAU
rnacentral:lncRNA from 1 species